AUUGAACGCUGGCGGCAGGCCUAACACAUGCAAGUCGAACGAGCGGCGGACGGGUGAGUAAUGUCUGGGAAACUGCCCGCUGGAGGGGGGUAACUACUGGAAACGGUAGAUAAUACCGCAUACCCUCGGAUGUGCCCAGAUGGGAUUAGCUGGUAGGUGAGGUAACGGCUCACCUAGGCGACGAUCCCUAGCUGGUCUGAGAGGAUGACCAGCCACACUGGAACUGAGACACGGUCCAGACGCCUACGGGAGGCAGCAGUGGGGAAUAUUGCACAAUGGGCGCAAGCCUGAUGCAGCCAUGCCGCGUGUAUGAAGAAGGCCUUCGGGUUGUAAAGUACUUUCAGCGGGGAGGCGUUACCCGCAGAAGAAGCACCGGCUAACUCCGUGCCAGCAGCCGCGGUAAUAC
rnacentral:rRNA from 1 species